ACCAUCAGGCCAUCGAAACCUUCUGUGGACUGCCUCACUGAUAUGAUGUAAUGGUCAGAGCCCAGCCAAGCCUGCAAACGGCUCUGAAGACAGAGAAGAGAUUCAAGACACAUUUAGGCGAAGAGUAAAAAAAGCAGACUGUCUCAACAGUCAGGGUCAACCAAGGACAGCAGACACAGCUGCCUGGCACAGUGUAGGCUCAGCAAUGUCAGCAACACCAAUGUAGCAAGGUGCAUGGUGGUCCUGAACGCAGCAUCCAGCAUCAUCAGCUUCCACGGCUCCUGGAUGGCAUCAGGCAGCGGGGUGUAAACAUAAUAAGCCACAGCCACCGUCAGUAACAGUGUAACAACCACCGGCAG